rnacentral:rRNA from 1 species
AAUAUUGGACAAUGGGGGCAACCCUGAUCCAGCCAUGCCGCGUGUGUGAAGAAGGUCUUCGGAUCGUAAAACUCUGUUGUUAGGGAAGAACAAGUAUCGUUCGAAUAGGGCGGUACCUUGACGGUACCUAACCAUAAAGCCACGGCUAACUACGUGCCAGCAGCCGCGGGAAUACGUAGGUGGCAAGCGUUAUCCGGAAUUCUUGGGCGUAAAGCGCGCGCAGGCGGUUUCUUAAGUCUGAUGUGAAAGCCCACGGCUCAACCGUGGAGGGUCAUUGGAAACUGGGAAGCUUGAGUGCAGAAGAGGAGAGUGGAAUUCCAUGUGUAGCGGUGAAAUGCGUAGAGAUAUGGAGGAACACCAGUGGCGAAGGCGACUCUCUGGUCUGCAACUGACGCUGAGGCGCGAAAGCGUGGGGAGCGAACA